AGAACCAGCUGAAUUUCAUCACUGGAUGGCUGGGUGGACUGUACAUCAACAUUUGAACUACUAGAACCUAUACCUGUGGCCUGCUUCUUCUAAGAAGCUUCUUAUACACACCCUAUUCAGUUUUUCAAACAUCAAUAGAAUGAACUUCUACAGAAAAACAUACCAUUGUGUAUCGACAUUAUAUAUGGUCAAAAGACAGGUAAAGAAACAUACAGAACAUGGCUGACUGGGAGAUUAGAAUGGCAGCGCUUCCAACAGUCCAUAGGUUACCAAUUUAUCACUGAAUGUGACAUCAGCGCUUUUUCUAAAAGUGAAAUGUGGAUGGAUGGAGUUGCCCACAGAACUUUAUUCCAGCUGUGGAUUUUUAAGUGUGAAUUUGGAUUGCCGCCUCCUCUCCCCCUCCCGUCUCUUUCCAUCGCAUCCCACUCUUCAAUGCCUCAAGCGAAACCAUAUUCAUCAGUCUCUGAGAGAGGGAGGGAGAGAGAGAGAGAGAGAGAGAGAGAGAGAAAGAAAGAAAAAGAAAGAAAGAAAGAAAGAAAGAAAGAAAGAAAGAAAGAAAGAAAGAAAUUCAAAAAAUGAAAUUAAGGAAAGAAGUGCGAAAGAAAACUGUUGAAAGAAAUCUCGGAAGAACUAGAAAAAGCUCGUGUCCCCUCCCCCGCAGUUUCUAAUUUAUUUCCAGUGAAAUAAAAAUCACUUAACCCAA